rnacentral:rRNA from 1 species
AUGCAAGUCGAACGGAAACGAUACUAGCUUGCUAGUAGGCGUCGAGUGGCGGACGGGUGAGUAACGCGUAGGAAUCUGCCUGAUAGUGGGGGAUAGCCCGAAGAAAUUCGGAUUAAUACCGCAUAAUCUAUUCGUAGUAAAGUGGGGGACUUUCGAGCCUCACGCUAUCAGAUGAGCCUGCGUAAGAUUAGCUUGUUGGUAGGGUAAAAGCCUACCAAGGCGACGAUCUUUAGCUGGUCUGAGAGGAUGAUCAGCCACAUCGGGACUGAGACACGGCCCGAACUCCUACGGGAGGCAGCAGUGGGGAAUAUUGGACAAUGGGGGCAACCCUGAUCCAGCAAUACCGCGUGUGUGAAGAAGGCCUGAGGGUUGUAAAGCACUUUCAAUUGUGAAGAAAAGUUAGCGGUUAAUAACCGUUAGCCUUGACGUUAACUUUAGAAGAAGCACCGGCUAACUCCGUGCCAGCAGCCGCGGUAAUACGGAGGGUGCAAGCGUUAAUCGGAAUUACUGGGCGUAAAGCGUGCGUAGGCGGUUUAUUAAGUCAGAUGUGAAAGCCCCGGGCUUAACCUGGGAACUGCAUUUGAAACUGGUCAACUAGAGUAUGGUAGAGGAAAGUGGAAUUUCUGGUGUACCGGUGAAAUGCGUGAAUAU